UAGGGAAUCUUCCACAAUGGACGCAAGUCUGAUGGAGCAACGCCGCGUGAGUGAAGAAGGUUUUCGGAUCGUAAAGCUCUGCUGUUGGUGAAGGAGGAUAGAGGCAGUAACUGGUCUUUAUUUGACGGUAAUCAACCAGAAAGUCACGGCUAACUCCGUGCCAGCAGCCGCGGUAAUACGUAGGUGGCAAGCUUUGUCCGGAUUUAUUGGGCGUAAAGCGAGCGCAGGCGGAAUGAUAAGUCUGAUGUGAAAGCCCACGGCUCAACCGUGGAACUGCAUCGGAAACUGUCAUUCUUGAGUGCAGAAGAGGAGAGUGGAAUGCCAUGUGUAGCGGUGGAAUGCGUAGAUAUAUGGAAGAACACCAGUGGCGAAGGCGGCUCUCUGGUCUGCAACUGACGCUGAGGCUCGAAAGCAUGGGUAGCGAACAGG
rnacentral:rRNA from 1 species